GAUGAACGCUGGCGGCGUGCCUAAUACAUGCAAGUCGAGCGAACAGACGAGGCGCUUGCUCCUUUGACGUUAGCGGCGGACGGGUGAGUAACACGUGGGUAACCUACCUAUAAGACUGGGAUAACUUCGGGAAACCGGAGCUAAUACCGGAUAAUAUUUCGAACCGCAUGGUUCGAUAGUGAAAGAUGGCUUUGCUAUCACUUAUAGAUGGACCUGCGCCGUAUUAGCUAGUUGGUAAGGUAACGGCUUACCAAGGCAACGAGACGUAGCCGACCUGAGAGGGUGAGCGGCCACACAGGAAGUGAGACACGGGCCAGAGUCCUACGGGAGGGAGCGGUGGGGAAUCUUCCGCAAUGGGCGAGAGCCUGACGGGGAGACGCCGCGUGAGUGAUGAAGGUCUUCGGAGCGUGAAACUCUGUUAUGAGGGAAGAAAAAACGUGGAAGUAACUGUGCACGUCGUGACGGUACCUGAUCAGAAAGCCACGGCUAACUACGUG
rnacentral:rRNA from 1 species